UAAGGAAUAUUGGACAAUGGACGCAAGUCUGAUCCAGCCAUGCCGCGUGAAGGAUGAAUGCCCUCUGGGUUGUAAACUUCUUUUAUAGGGGAAGAAAGAUACUUUUUUUAAGGUAGUUGACGGUACCCUAUGAAUAAGCACCGGCUAACUCCGUGCCAGCAGCCGCGGUAAUACGGAGGGUGCAAGCGUUAUCCGGAUUUACUGGGUUUAAAGGGUGCGUAGGCGGGCAUGUGAGUCAGUGAUGAAAUACCGGAGCUUAACUUCGGAACUGCCAUUGAUACUAUAUGUCUUGAAUAUUGUGGAGGUAAGCGGAAUAUGUCAUGUAGCGGUGAAAUGCAUAGAUAUGACAUAGAACACCGAUUGCGGAGGCAGCUUGCUACGCAAAUAUUGACGCUGAGGCACGAAAGCGUGGGGAUCAAACA
rnacentral:rRNA from 1 species